AGCUUUCCACCACCAGGCUUCUCAGCGCCUAACUUUUUAAUUAGCUCACCUUUAGGAUCCGAAAGCAAAUGAUAAGGAAAGUUUUGCUUAUCCUUGAAAGCUUUUUGAGCUUUGCUAGUAUCGAAAGACAACCCUAAAACUUCAUAAUCAGAGGCCUGUAUCUUAGGAUAGUUAUCACGAAAACCACAACCUUGUUUCGUGCAGCCAGGAGUACUAGCUUUUGGGUAGGCAAAAAUUACAAGCCCUUUAUUUGCAGUAAUAUCGCGAAGUCGAAUGGAAGUUCCAUCUUCGUCAGGCAAAGUGAUAUCGGGAAUUACGUCUCCCACUUGAAUAGUUGAAUCAACUGAUUCAUCUUUUGCAGGCUUUUUCAGCAUUACUGGAGCAGCUUCAGGAAUAAUCGUUCCUUUGCUAUCCAAGACGUUUGCAAUCUUGGCUGCCAAUCUGCUAGAUCUUCUGGGGGCGUCCAUUGACAGGCUUAAAGUGUGCAAGAAAAAUGCUAGAGGGGAAGGAGAAAGGUUGAUGCAGAGCUGCAGUAUAUAAAUUUAUAUUCUAAACAACACCUGUAAAACCAAAAACGUUGGUGUCAAUGCUGAUCAGUAUUAAAUCGCUUUAACUUGUAAAGGCUAGAUAAAAUGAUCAAAGUAGUGAAACUCUGUUCAGGAUGAAGUACUCUGAACUUUUUACUACUCAACUUUCAGAAUUUCGGUACCAAAAUAAAAACAAUUUUACAAUAACACCUGAGAUUUUCUUUCUGGUGUAGGAAGAAAGUACAGGUAGUGAAGAAUCACGACAUAAAUAUUACCAAUUUGUUAGCUUCGCUUUGAUAUUACUUUACAACAUUACCAAUGUGAUCCCGUAAAAUCGUAUUUAGCGUAUUUAGCUGACCUUUCAAACGAUCGAUAGGGAACCGAUCUUCCCCUGCUUAUACAAUCGGAAUAGCUUUGCAUCCUACUAUGACUAAAGAAUGUUUUCUUUCAUAAAAUUUCUAGUCAAAUCAUUAUUAACAUGGUGUCGUUUUUACUAGUAUGGCUUUAAAAAAUGGUCUUUCGUAAACUGUAACAGCAUUUUCUCUGAUUGUCCGUCUCGACAGCGUUA